CCGGGAUAGCCUAGAGGCGAGGCGAGGGACUGCAGAUCCCUUCCACCCGGGUUCAAAUCCCGGUCCCGGCUCCAC
rnacentral:tRNA from 1 species